rnacentral:rRNA from 1 species
GACGAACGCUGGCGGCGUGCUUAACACAUGCAAGUCGAACGGAAAGGCCCUGCUUUUGUGGGGUGCUCGAGUGGCGAACGGGUGAGUAACACGUGAGUAACCUGCCCUUGACUUUGGGAUAACUUCAGGAAACUGGGGCUAAUACCGGAUAGGAGCUCCUGCUGCAUGGUGGGGGUUGGAAAGUUUCGGCGGUUGGGGAUGGACUCGCGGCUUAUCAGCUUGUUGGUGGGGUAGUGGCUUACCAAGGCUUUGACGGGUAGCCGGCCUGAGAGGGUGACCGGCCACAUUGGGACUGAGAGACGGACCAGACGCCUACGGGAGGCAGCAGUGGGGAAUAUUGCACAAUGGGCGGAAGCCUGAUGCAGCAACGCCGCGUGCGGGAUGACGGCCUUCGGGUUGUAAACCGCUUUCGCCUGUGACGAAGCGUGAGUGACGGUAAUGGGAAAAGAAGCACCGGCUAACUACGUG